rnacentral:rRNA from 1 species
AUUGAACGCUGGCGGCAUGCCUUACACAUGCAAGUCGAACGGUAACAGGUCUUCGGAUGGCGAGUGGCGAACGGGUGAGUAAUAUAUCGGAACGUGCCCUAGAGUGGGGGAUAACUAGUCGAAAGACUAGCUAAUACCGCAUACGAUCUACGGAUGAAAGUGGGGGAUCGCAAGACCUCAUGCUCCUGGAGCGGCCGAUAUCUGAUUAGCUAGUUGGUGGGGUAAAAGCCUACCAAGGCAACGAUCAGUAGCUGGUCUGAGAGGACGACCAGCCACACUGGGACUGAGACACGGCCCAGACUCCUACGGGAGGCAGCAGUGGGGAAUUUUGGACAAUGGGCGCAAGCCUGAUCCAGCAAUGCCGCGUGCAGGAAGAAGGCCUUCGGGUUGUAAACUGCUUUUGUACGGAACGAAAAGGUUUGGGUUAAUACCCUGGGCCGAUGACGGUACCGUAAGAAUAAGCACCGGCUAACUACGUGCCAGCCGCCGCAGUAACAC